CCUUAAGACUCUUUUUUAUUAGAUCAUUGUAUCUAGUUAUGGUAGUGCUAUAUUAUAAUUUUUCGAUGAUUAUUAGUUUGAUCUGUGUAGUGGAAAAAAGUACCAAAAUAAAUUACAGAACUCAAUAGUUUUGGUUGUGCAUAAAACAAAAUAAAACCGAGAAUAAUGUGAUGAAUCAUGAAAAAACUUUGCUAAUAAUUGGAAUGGCUCACACCUGCUGCAUGUGAUGAAUCAUGUAAAUAAUUUAAGCGUUUCAUGAAAUAUUUAUAAUACAUGAAAGUGAUACUCAUUAAAUGUGCAUAGCUUGUAUCAAAUAUGGAUUGCCCAAAUGUGUAUUGGGUGUUUGCUUUUAGUUAGUUUAUCUGUUUUCAACCUGAUGUUGUUGGUUAAGUUUAGUUGAUAAGGAAAAUAUCUGACAUAUUUGAUCCAAAGGCCUGUUUGUAUUGGCAUGCCAAGUGGUGCGUAUUCUAAUGGACAUGCUUACUGUUUUGUUGUUCAUGAAGAAUGAACUGGAUAGACUGUAUUUGUGCAGGGGUUCAAGUCUGUUUAUUUGGUUUUGCUAGUGAUUUUCUGCAUCUUUCUUCAGCAGUCAUUCAUUAGGCUCUAUUACCGUGUACUGGAUUAUCACAAUUAGAUAGACUCUUGUGUUUGUACUUGUCAUUCGAUUUUUUGAAGGUGGCAUGGCAUCAUCCCAAUCAUCAUCUUCAUUUGGUGAUUUUGUGAUGGAAUCACCAACUUGUUGGUGUGGCUUGAAAACACAACUAAAGACAUCCCGCACUAAGUCUAAUCCGUUGAGAAAAUUUUUUGCUUGCCCAAAAUAUGAUACGGGCGAUGCACGAUGUGAAUUCUUCGUGUGGACGGAUAUAUAUCUUUUGCUAGAUCAAAACAUUCGGAGUAGAGAGACUAAAGUUUGGACUAUGUGGGAUGAGGUCUUGCUGCGAGAGUGCCAAGUGCAGAAAAGGGAGGAGAAAGUAAACGAGAGAGAGAGAAGCCUGAAAAAAUCUAAUAGAACAUUAUUGUGUUUGUAUUGGAUUCUUACAGCUGUAAUAAUUAUAGCUUGGUUUGGAUAAAUUGGAAGUUGACUGUCAUGUAUGGAAACUUUUCAUUUUGUGCU